AACGAACGCUGGCGGCAGGCCUAAGACAUGCAAGUCGUACGAGAAAGCCCUUUCGGGGGUGAGUAGAGUGGCGAACGGGUUAGUAACGCGUGGGAACAUACACAGCACAGGGGGAUAACCAUUGGAAACGAUGGCUAAUACCGCAUACGCCCUAAGGGGGAAAGAUUUAUCGGUGUUGGAUUGGCCCGCGUUAGAUUAGCUAGUUGGUGGUGUAAUGGACCACCAAGGCGACGAUUUAUAGCUGGUUUGAGAGGAUGAUCAGCAACACUGGAACUGAGACACGGUCCAGACUCCUACGGGAGGCAGCAGUCGGGAAUAUUGUGCAAUGGGGGCAACCCUGACACAGCCAUGCCGCGUGAGUGAAGAAGGCCUUAGGGUUGUAAAGCUCUUUCAGAUGUGAGGAUGAUGACGAUAGCAUCACAAGAAGCUCCGGCUAACUUCGUGCCAGCCGCCGCGUAAAC
rnacentral:rRNA from 1 species